rnacentral:rRNA from 1 species
CCCUACGGGGCGCAGCAGUGGGGGAUAUUGGACAAUGGGGGAAACCCUGAUCCAGCGACGCCGCGUGAGUGAAGAAGUAUUUCGGUAUGUAAAGCUCUAUCAGCAGGGAAGAAAGAAAUGACGGUACCUGAGUAAGAAGCCCCGGCUAACUACGUGCCAGCAGCCGCGGUAAUACGUAGGGGGCAAGCGUUAUCCGGAUUUACUGGGUGUAAGGGGAGCGUAGACGGCGGAACAAGUCAGAAGUGAAAACCCGGGGCUCAACCCUGGGAGUGCUUUUGAAACUGUUUGGCUGGAGUGCAGGAGAG